CCUACGGGAGGCAGCAGUGGGGAAUUUUGGACAAUGGGCGCAAGCCUGAUCCAGCAAUGCCGCGUGAGUGAAGAAGGCCUUCGGGUUGUAAAGCUCUUUUGUCAGGGAAGAAACGGUGAAGGCUAAUAUCCUUUGCUAAUGACGGUACCUGAAGAAUAAGCACCGGCUAACUACGUGCCAGCAGCCGCGGUAAUACGUAGGGUGCAAGCGUUAAUCGGAAUUACUGGGCGUAAAGCGUGCGCAGGCGGUUUUGUAAGUUUGUCGUGAAAUCCCCGGGCUCAACCUGGGAAUGGCGAUGAAGACUGCAAGGCUAGAAUCUGGCAGAGGGGGGUAGAAUUCCACGUGUAGCAGUGAAAUGCGUAGAGAUGUGGAGGAACACCGAUGGCGAAGGCAGCCCCCUGGGUCAAGAUUGACGCUCAUGCACGAAAGCGUGGGGAGCAAACAGGAUUAGAUACCCUGGUAGUCCACGCCCUAAAACGAUGUCUACUAGUUGUUACGGGUUUUAAUUAACGUUGGUAACGCAGCUAACGCGUAGAAGUAGACCGCCGUGGGGAGUACGGUCGCGAAGAUUAAAACCGCGAAAGUAGUAGUAGACGNGUAGAGAGACGACGACGACGACGACGGAGGAGGAGG
rnacentral:rRNA from 1 species